GACGAACGCUGGCGGCGUGCCUAAUACAUGCAAGUAGGACGCAGUUGCGAACGGGUGAGUAACGCGUAGGUAACUGCCUCUUAGAGGGGGAUAACUAUUGGAAACGAUAGCUAAUACCGCAUACUCGUAGAUGGACCUGCGUUGUAUUAGCUAGUAGGUAGGGUAAUGGCCUACCUAGGCAACGAUCCAUAGCCGACCGUAGGGGGGGAUCGGCCACACUGGGACUGAAACACGGCCCAGACUCCUACGGGAGGCAGCAGGAGGGAAUCUUCGGCAAUGGGGGGAAACCUGACCGAGCAACGCCGCGUGAGUGAAGAAGGUUUUCGGAUCGUAAAGCUCUGUUGUUAAGGAAGCGGUACUUAACCAGAAAGGGACGGCUAACUACGUGCCAGCAGCCGCGGUAAUAC
rnacentral:rRNA from 1 species